AAAGAAUAUUGGCAUUCACUUGAUUUUUCCAUCUUCUGAUAUAACCUUCAAAUGUUAAUAGUGUGUCGAAGAAUUUAUUGGAAGUGAGAAACAAGAAAACAGUGAGUCUAACCUAGUCAUUCUAGAAUUGGGAGGUAAUAGAAAAGAGAGAAAUGGGAAAGUUGCUCAAAUGCAAGUCCAGUGAAUCAGAGAGAAAAGGCUCAAAGCAGCAGAACAAAGCUUCAAUAAAGAGAUAUUGUGACUUGGAGAGAUGGCCUUUUGUCCUUUGUUCUAUUACCGGUCAGAGAAUGGGGAGCACACCCAAGCCUGAGACAACAGCUCUGCUAAGUGCCCUUGAGAGGGCACGGUGGGGUCAGCACCAAAGCCAGACCACUAAAGAGAAAAAGAGAGAAAGACAGGAUUGCAGAGGAGAAAUGAGAAUGGCAGAAAAAAUAAUUUUUUAAGCCAAAAGGAAUCAGAGAAGAGCAGAAGUGCCUCUAGGAUAAAGCGUAGCAGGCAGUUAGGGAAAAAGGGCUGUUAAUUACCUUGAAGCUCUGACUACAUUAGAAAGCCUCGCAAGACAGUCGUUGCUUGCACGGGCAGGUAGAGAACUUUUCCUGUCCAUUGUUCUUCUGAAUUAUAAAUCACUGACCUCUUUAUGAUUUCUAAAGGGAAAAUGACUUCAAGCUUCUUAGAGUUCCCCUAAGGCAUUCUCUAUAUUCAAUAUAAUAUGGGAAGCCCUGGGUUUGUCUUUGUAUGUUUCAUCUGCAGUGACCUGAAAUCUUCAUAACCCUCUUCCUUUCUCCACUUAUCAACUAAGGGGUGGUUGGCAAUAAGGAUGGGUGGGAGAGAAAAAAAAACAGAAUUUGAGGAGGAGAGCAUUUAAACCCUCAGACUGUGUGUUCUGUGACAUCAAAGACUGGCAACAUUCUAAAGGAAAAGCAGCUGUGAAGUCAUAAUUAUGUUCACUUCCCACUGGCAACUGGCAAGCCCUUUAUUUUUGUGCAUUCGGAACUCACCAAGAAUAAAUAAAGUCCAUUCCCUCCUUGAGGGGCUAUUCUGCCAUUCCAUCUAGGAUUUAAAAGUUUGCCAAUUCCUAAAACAUCUAUUGUUAUCAAUAGUCUUGUGUCUUUCACAAAGCGGACUUUACAAAAUAAGAUGCCAUGUCCAGCCAAAUAAAUGAGACUGAACUUCAUGGUUGUUGUUUUUACUUCAUCCCGGCAAAAGAAAUGAAAUUAAAUAUAAAAAGCAGAUGACCAAAUAAAGUCCAAAUGAAUUAAGUAUUGCUCCUAGUAUAACUCACAGUUAAUAUAAGUUGACUAUCCUCUCUGUAGACAACACUUUUCAUCAACAUUUUUCACCAUACAGCUAGACCUCAACUAACAGUCAAGUGUCAAA
rnacentral:lncRNA from 1 species